ACAAGCCAAGACUAGAACAGGGCAUUUAGGUGGGCCACGAGCUUUUGGUUAAAGUCACGCUCCACCGAUCGUCCAUGUGAACACACACACACGCGCACAUAUGCAAAAACAAAAAAGAAAGAAAAAAGAAGAAGAAAAAAGAAAAAAGGGAAGAUCGGUCCCCACUAGAGGAGUUUCCCUACGCCAUUAAUUAUUCUAUAUU
rnacentral:lncRNA from 1 species